rfam:Bacillus sp. B-jedd genome assembly, contig: CONTIG000001
AUCUUAUCAAGAGAGGCGGAGGGAAUGGCCCGAUGAAGCCCGGCAACCGGUUAUUGACACGGUGCCAAGUCCAGCAAGGCACAGCCUUGUAAAGAUAAGGA